CGUCUGCAGUGUUGUUCCAGGGGAGCAGCGUGUGAGGAAAAACAGAGGAGAGGUAAAUUAACUACAUUUGUCAGUUUACGUUUAGCUCCGGUAUCGAUCCUUCCUGAGGUGUAGGGGUGUGUUUUCAGUGUGUGUGUGUAGAUACAGUCCUGCUGUGUGUGUGUGUGUGAAGUCUAUUUAAAGGGAAAUGUAAUAAGAGCAGCAGCCUCAGCUCCACAUCCUCCUUCCUGUUUAUCGAACGCUGGAAUAAAAGACGCAGACACAUUUGAGGCUUUUAGUCAGUCUCUGUGUUUGUGUGCGAUUGUUGCCUCGGUGAUAAAAUGUUGAAAUAAUGACAGAAGUGGUGAAUGAAUAAUUCAUGACGUAAUUAAAAUUGAUUUCCCAGAAAAAAAGGCUGCAGUGAUUUAUGCUCAGCUCCGAUGUGUGGGAGCAGUUUUUGAUCAGAUGUGUCACGUUGUUAAAACCUGAUCCAGUUCCUCUAAUAACAAAUGUGGAUUAACAUCUUAAGAGCAUCUCACCAUCCUCUGUUGUGAAGGCAGUCUGUAAAGACUAAUAUACUUCAGUCAUGGUUACUCAGAACCAAAGAUCACAUCCAAACAGUCUGAGCUCAGAAUAAAACACUGCUCAGAUCGCAAACACACAGGCGAUACUCGCAUUAUUACCCGUUUCCCCUCAUUUUAAACCAAAAACACCACUGUGAAAACCUGAACUUUGAGUGUCAGUGACUGUCUUUAAACUCUGUGCUAGUUCCUCUGUUCUCACCCAAAUAUCAGUCUGAUUCACAGUUUGGCACACACCUUCUUUCAGCUCACCUGGAAGUGUGACCUUUUGUACUUCGCUGCUCUUGUUGACAGGACAGACCUCCAGGAGACAGGAUGGAUGUAGCAUUCACUCAGUUUAUUAUGCCGCCUCUGUAAGAUGGGGGGAAAAACACAACCACAGCUGCUCAGUUUCUUCAGAGGUCUAAACUACAAAAAAUAAACUACAACCAUUCUGGUUCACUCUAUGGUAGCUGACGGGAG